UCCUGAUGGGCUGAUUAGGAUUGUGAGAAUACCGAUGAUGUAAUCGUUUUAAAUGGGAAGACUAGAAUCUUUCAACAGUCAAAUUGAGACAACCAAGUUCUGUGUGCAACCCUUGACCACUUCUCUGGAUUAUUGAUACCAUUAUGAUGUAUUUGUAACUGUAAUAAAUGAAUAAAUAAAUAAAUUAGCGCUUUCAAAUGGCUAAAGUA